CCCCGUAAACGUUGGGAACUAGUUGUGGGGUCCUUUCCACGGAUUCCGUGACGCAGCUAACGCAUUAAGUUCCCCGCCUGGGGAGUACGGCCGCAAGGCUAAAACUCAAAGGAAUUGACGGGGACCCGCACAAGCGGCGGAGCAUGCGGAUUAAUUCGAUGCAACGCGAAGAACCUUACCAAGGCUUGACAUACACGAGAACACCCUAGAAAUAGGGGACUCUUUGGACACUCGUGAACAGGUGGUGCAUGGUUGUCGUCAGCUCGUGUCGUGAGAUGUUGGGUUAAGUCCCGCAACGAGCGCAACCCUCGUUCUAUGUUGCCAGCACGUAAUGGUGGGAACUCAUGGGAUACUGCCGGGGUCAACUCGGAGGAAGGUGGGGAUGACGUCAAAUCAUCAUGCCCCUUAUGUCUUGGGCUUCACGCAUGCUACAAUGGCCGGUACAAAGGGCUGCAAUACCGUGAGGUGGAGCGAAUCCCAAAAAGCCGGUCCCAGUUCGGAUUGAGGUCUGCAACUCGACCUCAUGAAGUCGGAGUCGCUAGUAAUCGCAGAUCAGCAACGCUGCGGUGAAUACGUUCCCGGGUCUUGUACACACCGCCCGUCAAGUCAUGAAAGUCGGUAACA
rnacentral:rRNA from 1 species